AGGAAACACAGGGAUAAAAACACUGGUACAGAGAGACAGGAAACACAGGGAUAAUUACACUGGGGAAAAUAAGCGACACCUGGAGUGUGUGGAGACAAUCACAAGGACAGGUGAAACAGAUCAGGGCGAGACACCCAGAGUUACCUCUGCUGCAGACGAUAAGUUCAUUAGAGUUAACUGCACCUCCUUCAAGGCUGUUGGAAAAGCAUUCCAGGUGAAGCUGUUUGAGAGAAUGCUCUUUAUGUAAUACAUGUAUCACUAGCCACUUUAACUAUGCCACUUUGUUUACAUACUCAUCUCAUAUGUAUAUACUGCACUCAAUACCAUCUACUGUAUCUUGCCUAUGCUGCUCUGUACCAUCACUCAUUCAUAUAUCUUUAUGUACAUAUUCUUUAUCCCCUUACACUUGUAAGGUAGUAGUUUUAGGAAUUUUUAGCUAGAUUACUUGUUGGUUAUUACUGCAUUGUCGGAACUAGAAGCACAAGCAUUUCGCUACACUCGCAUUAACAUCUGCUAACCAUGUGUAUGUGAAAAAUAACAUUUGAUUUGAUUUGAUUUACAGCUUGGAAUCGAACCAGGAUCAAUAAUACCUGUUUAUUUCCAGUAAGGCUAUUGCAUCACCUGUCUCUCCCUCUGCCCUCCCUUCUCUGGAUAAAUAUUGACACAUAAAGCCACUAUAAAGCGCUGCUCACAUGGACACAGCAACAACCCUUCAACAGAGGACAUCAGUCAGCCAUCUACAAUCUAGAGGACAUCAGUCAGCCAUCUACAAUCUAGAGGACAUCAGUCAGCCAUCUACAAUCUACAGGACAAUAACCAGCCAUCCACAAUCUCUGUAAGUGUAUUCUACUUGACUUAUAUCUAAUGUUAUCUUUACUGCUUAUCAACAUGGUUGGUUUUAUAUAAAUAGGAGCUUUGUAACCCUCCAUGAGCUCCUUGAACAGAAUAAGUAAACACUGAGUUUACAAAACAUUAAGAAUACCUUAAUACAGAGUUACACCCACGUCUCUCACAGAACAGCAUCAAUUCAUCAGGUCAUGGACUCUACAAGGUGUCAAAAGCAUUCCACAGGGAUGCUGGUCCAUGUUGACUCCCACAGUUGUGUCAAGUUGGCUGGAUGUCCUUUGGGUGGUGAACCAUUCUUGAUACACACAGGAAACUGUUGAGCGUGAAAACCCCAGGAGCGUUGCAGUUCUUGACACACUCACACACUAGUGUACCUGGCAACUAUUACCCCAUUUAAAGGCACUUCAUCUGAAUGGCUCACACACACAAUCCAUGUGUCAAUUGUCUCAAGGUUUAAACACCUUCCUUAACCUGUAUCCUCCCCUUCAUCUACACUGAUUGAAGUGGAUUUAACAGGUGACAACAAUUAAGGGAUCAUAGCUGUCACCUGGAUUCACCUGGUCAGUCUGUGUGAUGGAAGGAGUAGGUGUUCAUA
rnacentral:lncRNA from 13 species